AGGGGCAAUUUUUAUAAGAAAGGCCUCUUGCAGAAAAAAGAGCAAAAUAACAGCACCAUCCUAAGCAUCAGCUUCAAAGGAAACAGGAUGGCAGGGUUCAUCAGCCACUCUUGAUGAAAACAGGCACCUGGCUAUGUGUCACAUGUAGUUUGAUAACAUGGAGAUUGCUGGAAAGAUGCCAGAUUGCAAAUGGUGAAAUUAGGGAGCAUGGAACUUUGAAGCAUGAAGAGUAAAGACACAUGCAAGCUCGCACCAGGAAGAAAGCCAGAGCCCCCUUGGAGGAAAAGAGAAGGUUGCAGAGCCUGUUUUAGUCAUUACCUUCAGCUCCUGUACUCUCAGUAACAGUGUGGCACAGAAAGAUUGUGCAGGUGAUUCCCAUCAAAACACCACAGUGGCUGUACAGCAACAUCUUCAGUGAGGUCAGAUCCUGGAGCUGGCUAAGGACUCCUACAGAGCAGAGAUCCACACAGAAGCUGGAGGCUGGAUCUGCCCUUCAGAGCAGCUGAAUAGGGAAGCCAACCUCCAGGUGGUGCCUGAAGUUCUCCUGGAAUUACAACUUGUCUUCAUGGUACAGAAAUCAGUUUCCCUGAAGAAAAUGGCAGCUUCAGAUGGCAAAUGGAGUCUGUCACGGGUUGAACCUGUGUCCACUGCAAUGUCUAGUCUGGCUCUCAAACCCAGUGCUGCAAGGAACUAUACAGCAGUGAUCCUGCUUGACGGCAGAGCCUGGUUCACAAGCCUGGAACUUCUUCACCACUGUGCCGCCUCCUUACAGGCUUGCUGUCUCGGGUUGCCAGGUCCUCUUACCCUCCUGGAGGGAAGCAGGAAGCUGGCAUUCACUUUGUGUUCUCUUUGUGCAUGCGCACUUCUGGACAUGUGUGAUAAUGGCACUCCUGGGAAGUGAAAUCAUCAUGCAGUCCCGGGAGUGUGCACAUGCUUUGCACCGGGUUGACUGGGGCAGCAAACAGGCCCAAAUUGGCCCCAUGCAAAGUGCAGAAGUGCACUCUGGAGGCCUGUUCCCCUGUCUCCCCCUUACUGG